AAUUCUAAUUCAUUUUAGGAUAACCCUUUGAACUUAAGCAUAUCAGUAAAAGGAGGAAAAGAAACUAACAAGGAUUUCUUUAGUAGUGGCGAAUGAACAAGAAAGAACUCAUUAUGUAAUCUAUAUUCAUUAUAGAGAUGUUAAAAGUUAUUGUUGUCAUUCAAAUCAUAGAUACAUUAAAUUGUAGUAAAUGAUGACGAUAAAUAAACAAUGUAGAGUACGAUUGCUUGGUAGUGCAA
rnacentral:ncRNA from 1 species